AGGUCCGAGAUUACAGGGAUGGGCCACCAUAUCCAACUCAGUCCUUCCAAAAGACACUUUUCAAAACUAAAAUAUCUGGAAAGGCGAUGCUGGGGCAAGAAAGGGAUUACUAAACAUAAUCGCUGUGCUUAAGCUAUUUGAGUACUCGCAGGAAGUACAACGUACUAAUGGUUCCUGGGCAGUAACAGGAACUGUAACAGAGGCUGGGCCCCACUGCCAUUCUUAUCUGGAGACUUCAUGGAUUCCCGAAGUGUGGCUCCCACCCCCCAACCUCCACAGCCUCCCAAGGCUCUGUCCACAUCCAAUGCCUAGCUCCAAGUGCAAUGUCACUUUUUAGAAAGGCUCUCAGCCAUAGAAGUAAAGCAUGAGUACGCCUGUUGGCA